AGACAGGCCCUGCUAUGCUGUGACCACCACUACAGCAGCCCCAUUCUCCUUGCUGUGCUACUCACCUGGGGGUUGCUGAGCCAGCAGGGCCUCCGGAUGGGGUAGACUGAAUAGCAGUACUUUCCCGUCUGAGCAGGCCAGAGCCAAGAGACCCAACCGGGGCAGGAGAGGAGCCUAAAGGGUAAAAGGUAUGCUGAGGCUUGCUGCCUUCAGCUGACUCACAGAAAACCUUUGAGGUUCUAGUCCCUGAAAUACUGUAUGAAGUUGCUGGAAAAACUCCAUCCACUACACUCCAACCUUCGUUCCUUCAACUCUAAGAAUUCCCAGGGCCUCUUUGUCCUGGCUUUGAGUCCUAGGGCCAUCCCACAGUUGACUGGGAAGUACCUUCCGAGGGGUGCCUGGAAGUUCCCAUGCUCCACUGGGGCAGAACUUGAGGUCCCAGAUGCAGCCGUUGUCACAAGCAAUCCCAUAGACAAAGUGGGCCCUGUUGCCAGGACUGGAGAGAGAGAGCAUGUGGGGAUGGUGGGUAGGAAGAAGGGACGCAGGGCUGCCAGAGGGCUGGAGAAAAGAGCCACAUAUUGCGAGGCUCCUGCCCCCUCUGGCACUGGGCACCAGUCCAGAGCCCAGAGCGGUCCCCCCGUGAAGAAGGACACAUCCCAGCGCUCUGGAUGUGCUGUGAUCGAGCUAAAUCUAGAGAAAAAUCAAAGAUGGGAUGAAGAAAGGAAUUAAUGAAAGAAUCAGAAAAAAGGGCGGAUGUGCAAUCUUCACCUGUUUAUUCGGUAGAGGGUGCCAUCUUCAGGUAGCCCUUCACGUUGUACAGAAAACAAUGGAGACUUCUCCUCCUGGGGCAGUGGUGUCACCCUUCCUAAGCUACAGAGAUGUUGCUUCAACUUACAGCUCAGAUAACAAGUGCCACUUCCAGGCUAAAGGAAUCCACUCAGCAAACUCCCAGUAUGAAUGUUUCUGCUCUCGGCUGGAGAAACAGAAGAAGCAUUAAUGAAGGAGAGGGAUUCUACAGCCGCACAGUCCAAUAAAACUUUCUGUGGGGAUGGA
rnacentral:lncRNA from 1 species